UACAGAGGUGGCAAGCGUUGUUCGGAAUUACUGGGCGUAAAGGGCGCGUAGGCGGCCUUGUAAGUCCUGUGUGAAAUCCCCCGGCUCAACUGGGGAACUGCACAGGAGACUGCUUGGCUUGAGUUCGGGAGAGGGAAGCGGAAUUCCGGGUGUAGCGGUGAAAUGCGUAGAGAUCAGGAGGAACACCCGUGGCGAAGGCGGCCCUCUGGCUCGACCCUGACGCUGAGAGGCGAAAGCGUGGGGAGCGAACGGG
rnacentral:rRNA from 1 species